GGAUCCCGCGCUUCCGAGACUCGCAGUCUCCGAGAGUUGCCUGUUUUUUUCCUGCCUGGACGCGCAUGAGGGCCCGGUCCAUGGACCGCGCGGCCGUGGCGAGGGUGGGCGCGGUAGUGAGCGCCAGCGUGUGCGCCCUGGUGGCGGGGGUGGUGCUGGCUCAGUACAUAUUCACCUUGAAGAGGAAGACGGGGCGGAAGACCAAGAUCAUCGAGAUGAUGCCAGAAUUCCAGAAAAGUUCAGUUCGAAUCAAGAACCUUACAAGAGUAGAAGAAAUGAUCUGUGGUCUUAUCAAAGGAGGAGCUGCCAAACUUCAGAUAAUAACGGACUUUGAUAUGACACUCAGUAGAUUUUCAUACAAAGGGAAAAGAUGCCCAACAUGUCAUAAUAGCAUUGACAACUGUCAGCUGAUUACAGAUGAAUGUAGAAAAAAGUUAUUGCAACUAAAGAAAAAAUAUUACGCUAUUGAAGUUGAUCCUGUUCUUACUGUAGAAGAGAAGUACCCUUAUAUGGUGGAAUGGUAUACUAAAUCACAUGGUUUGCUUGUUCAACAAGCUUUACCAAAAGCUAAACUUAAAGAAAUUGUGGCAGAAUCUGACGUUAUGCUCAAAGAAAGAUAUGAAGAAUUUCUUUGAUAAGCUCCAACAACAUAGUAUCCCGGUGUUCAUAUUUUCGGCUGGAAUCAGCGAUGUACUAGAGGAGGUUAUUCGUCAAGCUGGUGUUUAUCAUCCAAAUGUCAAAGUUGUGUCCAAUUUUAUGGAUUUUGAUGAAACUGGGGUGCUCAAAGGAUUUAAAGGAGUUCUAAUUCAUAUAUUUAACAAACAUGAUGGUGCCUUGAGGAAUACAGAAUAUUUCAAUCAACUAAAAGACAAUAGUAACAUAAUUCUUCUGGGAGACUCCCAAGGAGACUUAAGAAUGGCAGAUGGAGUGGCCAAUGUUGAGCACAUUCUGAAAGUUGGAUAUCUAAAUGACAGAGUGGAUGAGCUUUUAGAAAAGUACAUGGACUCUUAUGAUAUUGUUUUAGUACAAGACGAAUCAUUAGAAGUAGCCAACUCUAUUUUACAGAAGAUUCUAUAAACAAGCAUUCUCCAAGAAGACCUCUCUCCUGUGGGUGCAAUUGAACUGUUCAUCUGUUCAUCUUGCUGAGAGACUUAUUUAUAAUAUAUCCUUACUCUUGAAGUGUUCCCUUUGUAUAACUGAAGUAUUUUCAGACAUGGUGAAUGCAUCGACUGGAAGCUCCUUUUUCUCCACCUCUCUCAAUACAUUCCUCACCGUAUCUUCUAACCCAUUAAAAAAAAAGAUCUUAAAGCCAAAAUUAGAAAAAUAACUCCCUACUUUUCCAAAGUGAAUUUUGUAGUUUCAUGUUAUCAUGCAGUUUUUGAGGAGUCUUUUACACUGGGAAAGUUUGUGGAAAUUUUAAAAUAAGUUUUAUGAAAUGGUGAAACAAUAUGCAUGAUUUUAAGUAUUGCCAUUUUUGUAAUUUGGGUUAUUAUACUGAUGGUAUCACCAUCUCUUGAAAUUGUGUUAGGUUUGGUUAUUUUGUCUAAGGAAAAAAUAUUUACUGGAAAAGACUAGCACUUAGUGUUGGAAAAACCUGGUGGUGUUUACAACGUCACUAAUCAUUACAAAACAUUCUAUAUUGAAGCACUGAUAAGAAAUAUGA
ensembl:lncRNA novel transcript